rnacentral:snRNA from 1 species
GAAUGUUAGGAAAACCAGCCAUGAUAUCUGACAGUGCACUGAGAACAGGGUUGACUUGACUAAUAUGGCUGGUUAGGCAGGUGCUUCAUUGCUUCUUCACCACUCCAUGUGCAUCCUUCCCAGAUUAUGUGUUUGGUGGAAAAGAUGACCACCUCAGAAAGGAGUAUGGCAUACUUCAGUCAAGGGUAUAUGAUAGCUGUGCACUCCCACUACAAUCUUUGAACAAACUCAGACAAGUACUUUGUUUCUUGUACAGUUCUGUGAAAUACUGAUGCUUAUUGUGCAUUCACCUUCAGAAUUUAAUG